ACUGCUCAGUAACACGUGGCUAAUCUGCCCUUGGGACCGGAACACCCCCGGGAAACUGGGGCUAAUUCUCGAUAGGUAAAGAACUCUGGAAUGAGUCUUUGCUUAAAAGACGUUUACGUUAUGCUCGUAGACGUCGCCCAAGGAUGAGGCCGCGACCGAUCAGGUUGUUGGUGAGGUAAUGGCUCACCAAGCCUUUUACCGGUGCGGGCCGUGAGAGCGGGAGCCCGGAGAUGGGCACUGAGACAAGGGCCCAGGCCCUACGGGGCGCAGCAGUCGCGAAAACUUUGCAAUACACGAAAGUGUGACAGGGCUAUCCCGAGUGCCAUCCGCUGAGGAAGGCUUUUACCCAGUCUAGAACGCUGGGGGAAUAAGGAGAGGGCAAGUCUGGUGUCAGCCGCCGCGGUAAUACCAGCUCUCCGAGUGGUGUGGAUGUUUAUUGGGCCUAAAGCAUCCGUAGCUGGCUGAGUUAGUCCCUUGUUAAAUCCACCGAAUUAAUCGUUGGAUUGCGGGGGAUACUGCUCGGCUAGGGGACGAGAGAGGCAGACGGUAUUUCCGGGGUAGGGGUGAAAUCCUAUAAUCCCGGGAAGACCACCAGUGGCGAAGGCUGUCUGCUAGAACGCGCCCGACGGUGAGGGAUGAAAGCUGGGGGAGCGAACCGGAUUAGAUACCCGGGUAGUCCCAGCUGUAAACGAUGCAGGCUAGGUGUUUGGACGGCCACGUGCCGUUCUAGUGCCGCAGGGAAGCUGUUAAGCCUGCCGCCUGGGGAGUACGAUCGCAAGAUUGAAACUUAAAGGAAUUGGCGGGGGAGCAC
rnacentral:rRNA from 1 species